UGCAGGUCUUAGCAGCACUAAGGGAGAAGAGCGACCUUCAUCCACAGGAACCUGGACACCCUCAAAGUCAAAAUAUUUACAGGAAAUGCAAUUUAUGACAGAACUCCAUAUAAACUGACAAACAACGAAUGUGCAAAAGAGGACAAAUUGUACAAAUAAAAAAUGCUGAGAACAUGAAUAGUAAAGUUCUUGAAAGUGAGUCUGAAGGUUGUGGAAUCCAUUCAGGGUUGAGGUCAUUUAUAAAAAUCACAAAGAAGAGGUGUCCCAGAAAAUAUCCCUGUGGAACACCACUGGUCACUGUCCUCCAUGCAGAAUAUGAACCAUCUACAACCACCCUUUGUUUUCUGUGGGCAAGCCAGUUCUGAAUCCAGAAAGCAAGAUCUCCUUGGAUCCAAGCCUCCUUACUUUCUGAAUGAGCUUUGCAUGUGGAACCUUAUCAAAUGCCUUA